CUCAUGGUGGCCCUUGUGACUCCUCUGGCUGUGUUUGAUGCAAAGCAGCUGAAGAAAUCCAUGAAGGGCACUGGAACAAGUGAACAUGCACUGAUUGAAAUCUUAACCACCAGAACGAGCAGGCAGAUGAAGGAGAUCUCUCAAGCCUACUACACAGUAUAUAAGAAGAGUCUUGGAGAUGACAUUAGUUCUGAAACAUCUGGUGAUUUCCAGAAGGCUCUGUUGACUUUGGCAGAUGUCAGAAGAGAUGAGAGUAUGAAAGUGGAUGGGCUGCUGGCCAAAAAGGAUGCCCAGAUUCUCUAUAAUGCUGGGGAGAACAGAUGGGGCACAGAUGAAGAUAAAUUCACCGAGAUCCUCUGUUUAAGGAGUUUUCCUCAACUGAAACUGACAUUUGAUGAAUACAGAAAUAUUAGCCAGAAGGACAUUGAGGACAGCAUAAGAGGAUAAUUGUCUGGGCAUUUUGAAGACCUACUUCUGGCCAUAGUUCAUUGUGCCAGAACCAUGCCUGCCUUCUUAACUGAAAGACUGUAUCAGGCUUUAAAGGGUGCUGGAACCAAUGAGUUUACUCUGAACGAAAUAAUGGUGUCCAGAUCAGAAAUAGACCUUCUGGACAUUCGAGCAGAGUUUAAGAAGUAUUAUGGUUAUUCCCUAUAUUUGGCAAUUAAAUCGGAUACUUCUGGAACUAUGAAAUCACACUCUUAAAGAUCUGUGGAGGAGAUGACUGAGUCAAGAACAUAAUUUCCAAAGGUCGCUGAGCCAACGAUGGGCCUUUCCAAUGGCUCUG